rnacentral:rRNA from 1 species
UACGUAGGCAGCGAGCGUUGUUCGGAAUUACUGGGCGUAAAGAGUGUGUAGGCGGUGCUCUAAGUUCGGUGUGAAAUCUCCUGGCUCAACUGGGAGGGUGCGCCGGAAACUGGAGUGCUUGAGCGUGGGAGAGGAAAGCGGAAUUCCUGGAUGUAGCGGUGAAAUGCGUAGAUAUCAGGAGGAACACCUGUGGUGUAGACGGCUUUCUGGACCAUAGCUGACGCUGAGACACGAAAGCGUGGGUAGCAAACAGG